rnacentral:tRNA from 1 species
GGAGAGGUGCAGGAGUGGUUGAACUGGCUACCCUGGAAAGGUAGUAUACUCGAAAGGGUAUCGAGGGUUCGAAUCCCUCUCUCUCCG